AUUGAACGCUGGCGGCAUGCUUUACACAUGCAAGUCGAACGGUAACAGGCCGCAAGGUGCUGACGAGUGGCGAACGGGUGAGUAAUGCAUCGGAACGUGCCCAGUCGUGGGGGAUAACUACUCGAAAGAGUAGCUAAUACCGCAUACGAUCUAUGGAUGAAAGCGGGGGACCGUAAGGCCUCACGCGAUUGGAGCGGCCGAUGUCAGAUUAGGUAGUUGGUGGGGUAAAGGCUCACCAAGCCAACGAUCUGUAGCUGGUCUGAGAGGACGACCAGCCACACUGGGACUGAGACACGGCCCAGACUCCUACGGGAGGCAGCAGUGGGGAAUUUUGGACAAAGGGCGCAAGCCUGAUCCAGCAAUGCCGCGUGCAGGAAGAAGGCCUUCGGGUUGUAAACUGCUUUUGUACGGAACGAAACGGCUCUGGUUAAUACCCGGGGCUAAUGACGGUACCGUAAGAAUAAGCACCGGCUAACUACGCG
rnacentral:rRNA from 1 species